UGCCGUGUACGUACACAUUACUGC
rnacentral:siRNA from 1 species